ensembl:snRNA U6 U6 spliceosomal RNA
GUGUUAUUUCGGUAGCACAUAUACUAAAAUUGGAACGAUACAGAGAAGAUUAGCAUGGCCCCUGCGCAAAGG